CCUACGGGAGGCAGCAGUAGGGAAUAUUGCUCAAUGGGGGAAACCCUGAAGCAGCAACGCCGCGUGGCGGAUGAAGGUUUUCGGAUUGUAAACUCCUUUUGUUAGAGAAGAUAAUGACGGUAUCUAACGAAUAAGCACCGGCUAACUCCGUGCCAGCAGCCGCGGUAAUACGGAGGGUGCAAGCGUUACUCGGAAUCACUGGGCGUAAAGAGCGCGUAGGCGGGAUAGCAAGUCAGAUGUGAAAUCCUAGGGCUUAACCAUAGAACUGCAUUUGAAACUGGUAUUCUAGAGUAUGGGAGAGGUAGGUGGAAUUCUUGGUGUAGGGGUAAAAUCCGUAGAGAUCAAGAGGAAUACUCAUUGCGAAGGCGACCUGCUAGAACAUAACUGACGCUGAUGCGCGAAAGCGUGGGGAGCAAACAGGAUUAGAUACCCGGGUAGUC
rnacentral:rRNA from 1 species